AGAGUAUGAUCCUGGCUCAGAACGAACGCUGGCGGCAGGCCUAACACAUGCAAGUCGAGCGAGACCUUCGGGUCUAGCGGCGGACGGGUUAGUAACGCGUGGGAACGUGCCCUUUUCUACGGAAUAGCCUCGGGAAACUGAGAGUAAUACCGUAUACGCCCUUCGGGGGAAAGAUUUAUCGGAGAAGGAUCGGCCCGCGUUAGAUUAGGUAGUUGGUGGGGUAAUGGCCUACCAAGCCUACGAUCUAUAGCUGGUUUGAGAGGAUGAUCAGCAACACUGGGACUGAGACACGGCCCAGACUCCUACGGGAGGCAGCAGUGGGGAAUCUUAGACAAUGGGGGCAACCCUGAUCUAGCCAUGCCGCGUGAGUGAAGAAGGCCCUAGGGUCGUAAAGCUCUUUCGCCUGUGAAGAUAAUGACUGUAGCAGGUAAAGAAACCCCGGCUAACUCCGUGCCAGCAGCCGCGGUAAUACGGAGGGGGUUAGCGUUGUUCGGAAUUACUGGGCGUAAAGCGCGCGUAGGCGGACUAUUAAGUCAGGGGUGAAAUCCCGGGGCUCAACCCCGGAACUGCCCUUGAUACUGGUAGUCUUGAGUUCGAGAG
rnacentral:rRNA from 1 species